rnacentral:rRNA from 1 species
AGAGUUUGAUCAUGGCUCAGAAUGAACGCUGGCGGCGUGCUUAACACAUGCAAGUCGUACGAGAAAUCUUCUGCUUGCAGGAGAGAGUAAAGUGGCGUACGGGUGAGUAAUGCGUGGGUAAUCUACCUUUGAAUUCGGGAUAACAUGUCGAAAGGUGUGCUAAUACCGGAUGAAGUCCAUGUAGUAAUGACUGUAUGGAUGAAAGAUGGCCUCUACAUGUAAGCUAUUGUUUGGGGAUGAGCCUGCGUACCAUUAGCUAGUUGGUGGGGUAAGAGCCUACCAAGGCGACGAUGGUUAGCUGGUCUGAGAGGAUGAUCAGCCACACUGGAACUGGAACACGGUCCAGACUCCUACGGGAGGCAGCAGUGAGGAAUUUUGCGCAAUGGGGGAAACCCUGACGCAGCAACGCCGCGUGAGUGAUGAAGGCUUUCGGGUCGUAAAGCUCUGUCGAUCGGGAAGAAGGUGAGCCAACGAAUAUGUUGGUUUAUUGACGGUACCGUUGAAGGAAGCACCGGCUAACUCCGUGCCAGCAGCCGCGGGAAUACCGGGGGGUGCAAGCGUUAUUCCGGAAUUAUUGGGCGGAUGGGGCCCGUAGGCGGGGUG